rnacentral:rRNA from 1 species
AACGAACGCUGGCGGCAGGCCUAACACAUGCAAGUCGAACGAAGCCUUCGGGCUUAGUGGCGGACGGGUGAGUAACACGUGGGAACGUACCUUUUGGUUCGGAAUAACGCAGAGAAAUUUGCGCUAAUACCGAAUGAGCCCUUAGGGGGAAAGAGUUAUCGCCGAAAGAUCGGCCCGCGUUGGAUUAGGUAGUUGGUGUGGUAAAGGCGCACCAAGCCUACGAUCCAUAGCUGGUCUGAGAGGAUGAUCAGCCACACUGAGACUGAGACACGGCCCAGACUCCUACGGGAGGCAGCAGUGGGGAAUCUUGCGCAAUGGGCGAAAGCCUGACGCAGCCAGGCCGCGUGAAUGAUGAAGGUCUUAGGAUUGUAAAAUUCUUUUACCAGGGACGAUAAUGACGGUACCUGGAGAAAAAGCCCCGGCUAACUUCGUGCCAGCCGCCGCGGUAAAAC